AUUAAGCAAAUCAGCUAACCCAGGUGCUAGAGGUUCUUAAUCCCAGUAGAUAAAUAAGUAAGCUAGUCCCAGG